rnacentral:misc_RNA from 1 species
UUUCCGUUGGUGAACCAGCGGAGGGAUCAUUACCGAGUUUACAAGUCCCAAACCCCUGUGAACAUACCAUUUGUUGCCUCGGCGGUGCCUGCUUCGGCAGCCCGCCAGAGGACCCAAACCCUUGAUUUUAUACAGUAUCUUCUGAGUAAAUGAUUAAAUAAAUCAAAACUUUCAACAACGGAUCUCUUGGUUCUG